rnacentral:rRNA from 1 species
CCUACGUGAGGCAGCAGUAGGGAAUCUUCCACAAUGGGCGAAAGCCUGAUGGAGCAACGCCGCGUGGGUGAAGAAGGUCUUCGGAUCGUAAAACCCUGUUGUUAGAGAAGAAAGUGCGUGAGAGUAACUGUUCAAGUGUCGACGGUAUCUAACCAGAAAGCCACGGCUAACUACGGGCCAGCAGCCGCGGUAAUACGUAGGUGGCAAGCGUUAUCCGGAUUUAUUGGGGGUAAAAGGAACGCAGGCGGUCUUUUAAGUCUGAUGUGAAAGCCUUCGGCUUAACCGGAGUAGUGCAUUGGAAACUGGGAGACUUGAGUGCGGAAGAGGAGAGUGGAACGCCCGGUGUAGCGGUGAAAUGCGUAGAUAUAGGGAAGAACGCCAGUGGCGAAAGCGGCUCUCUGGUCUGUAACUGACGCUGAGGUUCGAAAGCGUGGGUAGCGAACAGGAUUAGAUACCCUGGUAGUC